UGCAUAUCANUAAGCGGAGGAAAAGAAACUAACAAGGAUUCCCCUAGUAACGGCGAGUGAAGAGGGAAGAGCUCAAAUUUUGAAUCUGGCGUCUUUAGCGUCCGAAUUGUAAUCUAGAGAAGUGUUUUCCGUGACGGACCGUGCAUAAGUCUCCUGGAAUGGAGUGUCAUAGAGGGUGAGAAUCCCGUAUAUGGCACGGACUCCCGUUGCUCUGUGAUACACUCUCGACGAGUCGAGUUGUUUGGGAAUGCAGCUCUAAAUGGGUGGUAAAUGCCAUCUAAAGCUAAAUAUUGGCGAGAGACCGAUAGCGAACAAGUACCGUGAGGGAAAGAUGAAAAGCACUUUGGAAAGAGAGUGAAACAGUACGUGAAAUUGUUGAAAGGGAAACGCUUGAAGUCAGUCGCGCCGUUCGGGAUUCAGCCUUGCUUCUGCUCGGUUUACUUCCCGUUGGGUGGGUCAACAUCAGUUUCGGUCGGAGGAGAAAGACUUGGGGAAGGUGGCAGCAUUCGUGCUGUGUUAUAGCCCCUUGUUGUAUACUUCGGCUGGGACUGAGGACCGCAGCACGCCUCUGGCCGGGGUUCGCCCACGUACGUGCUUAGGAUGUUGGCAUAAUGGCUUUAAGCGACCCGUCUUGAAACACGGA
rnacentral:rRNA from 1 species